CCAUAGUUUUAAUGAUAUAACAUCUGUUUUACAUGCAGAAGGUCCCUGGUUCAAUCUCAAAAUCUCCAGGAAGGGCUGGG